rnacentral:sRNA from 1 species
AAUAUUUGGGAAUUUUUUAAUUAUUUUUAAAAUUGUUAAAAACCGUUCCGCUAAUAUUACCAAAAAUUGAAUUAGCGAACAAAUUAACCAAAAAAAAGGAAAAUUUAAAAAAAUACCACCUAUUAUUUUUAAAAAUUAAAAACCGACCAAAAUUCGAAACCAUACCACCAAAUAAAUUUAAAAAAAAACAAUUAAUAUUCGCCACGAACUAAAAUAUAUAAAUAAAAUAAUUUACCAAUUAAAUAUUACGUAAAAAUACUAUUUUUUCCAAUAAAUUUUUUUUAAAGGAUUUAUCGGGAAAAUUAAAUUCCAAACAAAAUUAGAAUUUGGAAAAAGCAAUUUAAAGGAUAUUUUAAAAAAAAUUCGGUUAAUUGCCGCCGUUUUUUUAAUUUGUUUUUUUAUAUUUUACGCGAUCCAAUUCCUCCAAAUUAUUAAUACCCCGACGGACCGCCCGCAUUAUUUUUUUUAAACUAUAUUUUUUUUUAUUUUCGCAAACGAAAAUUUUUUUCCUCCGUCGUUUUUAAUUUAAAUUUAAACUUCGAAUAUUAAGCCGCGAUUUUGUGCAAUUAUUUCCGGAAAAUACCUAUAACGUUAUAUUGCGAACGACCCAAAUAAAUAUAUUUAAUAUAAUAAAAACAAAUCCCGAAAUAAUAUAAUAUAUUUCGCAAUCCUUUGCGAUUUAUAAAUAAAAUAAUAAAAUAUUUUAACCGCCGAAAAAAAAAAUAUAAAAAACAAAUCGUUGCGGCGAACGGUGGAAAAACGACCGCGAAAUUUAUUAAUUUAAUUAAAUAUAACGCAAAAAAAUUAGCAAAAAAAAAACGAAACCAAAAAUUAAAAUUAACAAAAUAUAAGUUAUUUCAAACCAAAAGAAUUUGGCCAAAAAAAGGAGAUUUAAUAUUACGAUUAAAUCAUUGGGCCGGUACCAGAAAGGCCAAAUAAAAUUAUAUUUUUCCUAACAAUAUUUGUCCAAAACAAUUACCGACCGGUAAAAACAGGAUUAUAUAAGGGAAAAAACACGUAAUAUUACGUAAUCGCGAAAAAAAUAUAAUUAAUAUAUCGCAUAUUAAAUAUAACAAAACAAAUAAUUUAUAUAAAAU